ACCUUUAUCCCCUGCCUAGAGUCUAAAAUGCUAGUGUUACGUACUGUACAUGACCGUAUGGUGGAAGGAGACAAAAGACCCAUCUCUGCCACCUAUUAUCUGUGUGGCUUUGGGUAGGUCACUUUCACCUUUUAGCGUCUCAGUUUGCUCAUCUGGCGAAUGGACACAAUCUAACGGACAGACGCUGUGGGUGCUUCCUUCGUUCUCUCCUAGGCCCUUCGUUCUCAAUCCUGAGCAUGUAUCAGAACAACCUAUAAGACUUGUUAAAAGACAGAUUGCUGGGCCCCACCUCCAGGGUUUCUGAUUCAGUAGGUCUGGGAUGGAGUCCAAGACUGUGCAUUUCUACAAGUUUCCCAGAGUCUGCUUUUGGAGAAGUCCCCCCCCAAGAAUCAGCAGAGGUCAAGCAUGAGAAGCGAGUAAAUCCGCGAAAGCCCACGGCAGGAGCAGCUCACCUCUAGGACAGCAGUUGUAGACUCAGCGGAGCGCACAGGAGCUGGAAAGUGAGGGAGGCCAGGUCAGGAGGAGUCAGGAUGGCACAGACUCUGGCAAAGCGGCGAGGCUCUGCCCGUUUUGGUGGGACAGCAUCUAUGGAUUGCUUCUAAUGGUUGCCCUCCAGGGAUGAGAGUUAUGUAUUGCUGGGGAUCCAGAUUUCUAUGUGAAAUCUCCCAAUGUUUAAAUGCUACCAAUCCCAAAAAUAAAAGGAAAAAAAAAAGAAAAAGAAAAGAAAAAACAACAACUCUGUGAGAACCCAAGA